CGUGCUGCGGCCACACAGACAGCUUUGGAUGAAUCACAGAAUUCCAGGAACCAGAGAGCAAACCUCACCGUGUGGGCAACGAGCAGAGCAGGAGCUGCCAGAGCAAUGCCGUGACUAAGGAGGCUAAUGUCAUCCUUGGAUGUAGAAUACCUUCAGUAGGAGUAAAGAGGGUGAUGGAGCUGACUCCGUUGGAACUGACUGCUGCUGCCAUUUUUCUGACAGGAUGAAAGAAGUCCAGAGUGUUCAAAGUAUCAGAGGAGGAAAACUUGUGGACUGGA
rnacentral:lncRNA from 1 species